GACGAACGCUGGCGGCGUGCCUAACACAUGCAAGUCGAGCGGUAAGGCCCUUUCGGGGGUACACGAGCGGCGAACGGGUGAGUAACACGUGGGUGACCUGCCCUCAGCUCUGGGAUAAGCCUGGGAAACUGGGUCUAAUACCGGAUAUGACUCCAUGACGCAUGUUGUGGGGUGGAAAGCCUUGUGCGGCUGAGGAUGGGCCCGCGGCCUAUCAGCUUGUUGGUGGGGUGANGGCCUACCAAGGCGACGACGGGUAGCCGGCCUGAGAGGGCGACCGGCCACACUGGGACUGAGACACGGCCCAGACUCCUACGGGAGGCAGCAGUGGGGAAUCUUGCGCAAUGGGCGAAAGCCUGACGCAGCGACGCCGCGUGAGGGAUGACGGCCU
rnacentral:rRNA from 1 species